CUCCGAUUGGGUCAUUGGUUGAUCGCAUAGUUUGGGACUAUGAUUAAGGGUGUUCGAUUCACUCAUUGGAGAC
rnacentral:tRNA from 2 species